rnacentral:ribozyme from 1 species
AUUAAACGACCGAGGAAUAUAGAAAAACCGAAAAAAAAAAAACGGAAAUAACAUUAGCAAAAUUCUAUUUUCCAGACUUCCUCUUCCUAUUUCUUUUUAUUUCUUUUUUUCAAUUUUUUCUUUUUCUAUCUUCUCAGAUCCCAAAAAAAAGAAAGAGGGGCAUCAGCAGAAGCGAAAAAAUAAAUAUGAAAAAAAA